rnacentral:rRNA from 1 species
UACGUAGGGGGCGAGCGUUGUCCGAAGUUACUGGGCGUAAAGCGCGCGUAGGCGGUCCUUUAAGUCUGGGGUGAAAGGUUCAGCGCUCAACGUGAACAGUGCCUUGGAGACUGGGGGACUUGAGUGUGGGAGGGGGCAGUGGAAUUCCUGGUGUAGCGGUGAAAUGCGUAGAUAUCAGGAAGAACACCCGUGGCGAAGGCGGCUCUCUGGGACGGUACUGACGCUGAGACGCGAAAGCGUGGGGAGCAAACAGG